UACGUAGGUCCCGAGCGUUGUCCGGAUUUAUUGGGCGUAAAGCGAGCGCAGGUGGUUUAUUAAGUCUGGUGUAAAAGGCAGUGGCUCAACCAUUGUAUGCAUUGGAAACUGGUAGACUUGAGUGCAGGAGAGGAGAGUGGAAUUCCAUGUGUAGCGGUGAAAUGCGUAGAUAUAUGGAGGAACACCGGUGACGAAAGCGGCUCUCUGGCCUGUAACUGACACUGAGGCUCGAAAGCGUGGGAAGCAAACAGG
rnacentral:rRNA from 1 species